rnacentral:lncRNA from 1 species
CCUAAAUGCUGCAGGUUUGGCUGACGUUAGCUCCAGGAGGAUUACUCCGUUGGAAACCAUCAGCAAUGAAGUGACUCUACCAGCUCUGCCUGCUAUUAUAUCUUCUUAUUGUAAGCUCUUUCAAGGCAGAAACACUAGGAGUAAUGGCACAAGGAUGAAAAUUUUGAGACCGUUCUGGAGGAUGAAGGAGAAGACUGGCUAUGCCGGGACUCAAAGGAUUGGUCAUGCCUGGGAGCUACCAAGAGCACGAGGGAGGCCUUAGCAUGUUUUCAUUCAGAUGGGAAAGCAGCAAAGAAGGAGAGAUCAAAGAUCAGAGGGUACAUUAGGCCCUCUGUGUCCACCAGUUCUGCAAGAAACAGAGGGCCGACUCAGGGACUUGAGCAUCCGCGGAUUUUGGUAUCCAAAGGAGGUCCUGGAACCCAGCGCCCACAGAUAUUAAGGUACAACUGUAACUUACGGAGCAAGAUCCCAGUACAGCAGAAAGAACUAGAUUUAGAAAUAAUGGUAGUAAGUCA